GGAGAGUUGGCUGAGUGGUCGAAAGCGGCGGUCUUGAAAACCGUUGAACCGUAAGGUUCCGAGGGUUCGAAUCCCUCAUUCUCCGCCA
rnacentral:tRNA from 1 species